CAGUAGCAGGAGAGAAGGAUGAUCUUUCCAAAACCUUCAGCUCCUUAAAAUCACACAUUGAAACUCCCAUACCCCAAAAUCAAUCAUCAACAUCACCAUCACCAUCAUCAUGGUCGGUCUAUCUGAUUCUCUCCACCAACGCACCUCUAAAAACAUAUGUUGGUGUCACCACCAAUUUUUCUCGCCGUCUGAAACAACACAAUGGUGAACUCAAAGGUGGAGCCAAAGCAUUACGUUCAGGAAGACCUUGGAUUUGUGCAUGCAUUAUUCAAGGAUUCAAAGACCACAGCGAAGGUAUUAGUUAUUACUCAAAUUCAUCCCCAAGUUCAUGUUGUGUCUUGGCUCUAAAGAUGAUUCUCGUGCAUUAUUUCAGUUUAAGGUGGUUACACUAGGGAUACCUUUGAGCCUUAAAAAUUGCAGAGAGUGAAAACAUAGUUGUACGUUUGCACACCACUGCAGUAUCUUGUUCGCCAAAACUUCCAACUUUGUAUCAUUAGGUGAUGACCCUUGCAAAUCCUUUGGCUGAAGGACUAGCAAGAGGGAAAUUCUGUAUACAUCAAAGGAAGUACAAUCACAAUUAGUAGUCUCUCUCGCUUUCUCAUUUAAUAUUUUUGUAUUUGUUCGGAGAUAUUUGCCUUUCACAAUCACAAUCAGCAAGAUGAUUUGCAUUUUUGCCUUC